UGGGGAAUAUUGCACAAUGGGCGCAAGCCUGAUGCAGCCAUGCCGCGUGUGUGAAGAAGGCCUUCGGUUGUAAAGCACUUUCAGCGAGGAGGAAGGUGGUGAGCUUAAUACGCUCAUCAAUUGACGUUACUCGCAGAAGAAGCACCGGCUAACUCCGUGCCAGCAGCCGCGGUAAUACGGAGGGUGCAAGCGUUAAUCGGAAUUACUGGGCGUAAAGCGCACGCAGGCGGUUUGUUAAGUCAGAUGUGAAAUCCCCGGGCUCAACCUGGGAACUGCAUUUGAAACUGGCAAGCUAGAGUCUCGUAGAGGGGGGUAGAAUUCCAGGUGUAGCGGUGAAAUGCGUAGAGAUCUGGAGGAAUACCGGUGGCGAAGGCGGCCCCCUGGACGAAGACUGACGCUCAGGUGCGAAAGCGUGGGGCAGCAAACAGGAUUAGAUACCCUGGUAGUCCCACCGCUGUAAAACGAUGUCGAUUUUGGAGGUUGUGCCCCUUGAGGCGUGGCUUCCGGAGCUAACGCGUUAAAUCGACCGCC
rnacentral:rRNA from 1 species